rnacentral:rRNA from 1 species
GGUUGAUCCCUGGCUCAGAGUGAACGCUGGCGGUGUGCCUAAUACAUGCAAGUCGAACGAUGAAGCUUCUAGCUUGCUAGAAGUGGAUUAGUGGCGCACGGGUGAGUAAUGCAUAGGUAACAUGCCCUUUAGUCUGGGAUAGCCACUGGAAACGGUGAUUAAUACUAGAUACUCCCUACGGGGGAAAGAAUUUUGCUAAAGGAUUGGCCUAUGUCCUAUCAGUUUGUUGGUGAGGUAAUGGCUUACCAAGACUAUGACGGGUAUCCGGCCUGAGAGGGUGAACGGACACACUGGAACUGAGACACGGUCCAGACUCCUACGGGAGGCAGCAGUAGGGAAUAUUGCUCAAUGGGGGAAACCCUGAAGCAGCAACACCGCGUGGAGGAUGAAGGUUUUAGGAUUGUAAACUCCUUUUAUAAGAGAAGAUUAUGACGGUAUCUUAUGAAUAAGCACCGGCUAACUCCGUGCCAGCAGCCGCGGUAAUACGGAGGGUGCAAGCGUUACUCGGAAUCACUGGGCGUAAAGAGCGCGUAGGCGGAAUAAUAAGUCAGAUGUGAAAUACUAUGGCUUAACCAUAGAACUGCAUUUGAAACUGUUAUUCUAGAGUGUGGGAGAGGUAAGUGGAAUUCUUGGUGUAGGGGUAAAAUCCGUAGAGAUCAAGAGGAAUACUCAUUGCGAAGGCGACUUACUGGAACAUUACUGACGCUGAUGUGCGAAAGCGUGGGGAGCAAACAGGAUUAGAUACCCUGGUAGUCCACGCCCUAAACUAUGGAUGCUAGUUGUUGCUCUGCUUGUCAGGGCAGUAAUGUAGCUAACGCAUUAAGCAUCCCGCCUGGGGAGUACGGUCGCAAGAUUAAAACUCAAAGGAAUAGACGGGGACCCGCACAAGCGGUGGAGCAUGUGGUUUAAUUCGAAGAUACGCGAAGAACCUUACCUAGGCUUGACAUUGAUAGAAUUUGUUAGAGAUAGCAAAGUGCCACGCAAGUGGAGCUUGAAAACAGGUGCUGCACGGGCUGUCGUCAGCUCGUGUCGUGAGAUGUUGGGUUAAGUCCCGCAACGAGCGCAACCCUCGUCCUUAGUUGCUAGCAGUUCGGCUGAGCACUCUAAGGAGACUGCUUCUGUAAGGAAGAGGAAGGUGAGGACGACGUCAAGUCAUCAUGGCCCUUACGCCUAGGGCUACACACGUGCUACAAUGGGAUAUACAAAGAGAUGCAAUACUGCGAAGUGGAGCUAAUCUCAAAAAUAUCUCUCAGUUCGGAUUGUAGUCUGCAACUCGACUACAUGAAGCUGGAAUCGCUAGUAAUCGUGAAUCAGCCAUGUCACGGUGAAUACGUUCCCGGGUCUUGUACUCACCGCCCGUCACACCAUGGGAGUUGUAUUCGCCUUAAGCCGGGAUGUUAAAAUAACUACUGUCUACGGCGGAUACAGCGACUGGGGUGAAGUCGUAAC